UCUUACUGACGCUAAAGCUCGAAGGUGCGGGUAUCGAACAGGAUUAGAUACCCUGGUAGUCCGCACGGUAAACGAUGGAUGCCCGCUGUUGGCGAUAUAAUGUCAGCGGCCAAGCGAAAGCGUUAAGCAUCCCACCUGGGGAGUACGCCGGCAACGGUGAAACUCAAAGGAAUUGACGGGGGCCCGCACAAGCGGAGGAACAUGUGGUUUAAUUCGAUGAUACGCGAGGAACCUUACCCGGGCUUGAACUGCCAGCGGACGAUACAGAGAUGUUGAGGCCCUUCGGGGCGCUGGUGGAGGUGCUGCAUGGUUGUCGUCAGCUCGUGCCGUGAGGUGUCGGCUUAAGUGCCAUAACGAGCGCAACCCCUUUCGUCAGUUGCCAUCAGGUAAUGCUGGGCACUCUGGCGACACUGCCACCGUAAGGUGUGAGGAAGGUGGGGAUGACGUCAAAUCAGCACGGCCCUUACGUCCGGGGCUACACACGUGUUACAAUGGGAGGUACAGAGAGCCGGCCGCCUGCAAAUGCGGUCCAAUCAAGAAAGCCUUCCUCAGUUCGGAUUGGGGUCUGCAACCCGACCCCAUGAAGCUGGAUUCGCUAGUA
rnacentral:rRNA from 1 species